UACAGAGGUGGCAAGCGUUGUUCGGAAUUACUGGGCGUAAAGGGCGCGUAGGCGGCCUGCUAAGUCCCGCGUGAAAGCCCCCGGCUCAACCGGGGAAUGGCGCGGGAUACUGGUGAGCUUGAGUUCGGGAGAGGGAAGCGGAAUUCCGGGUGUAGCGGUGAAAUGCGUAGAUAUCCGGAGGAACACCGGUGGCGAAGGCGGCUUCCUGGACCGACACUGACGCUGAGGCGCGAAAGCUAGGGGAGCAAACGGG
rnacentral:rRNA from 1 species